rnacentral:rRNA from 1 species
UACGUAGGGGGCUAGCGUUGUCCGGAAUCAUUGGGCGUAAAGAGCGUGUAGGCGGCCCGGUAAGUCCGCUGUAAAAGUCAAAGGCUCAACCUUUGAAUGUCAGUGGAUACUGCCAGGCUAGAGUCCGGAAGAGGCGAGUGGAACUCCUGGUGUAGCGGUGGAAUGCGCAGAUAUCAGGAAGAACACCGACGGCGAAGGCAGCUCGCUGGGACGGUACUGACGCUAAGGCGCGAAAGCGUGGGGAGCGAACAGG